CUCUCGGCAACGGAUAUCUCGGCUCUCGCAUCGAUGAAGAACGUAGCGAAAUGCGAUACUUGGUGUGAAUUGCAGAAUCCCGUGAACCAUCGAGUCUUUGAACGCAAGUUGCGCCCGAGGCCACUCGGCCGAGGGCACGCCUGCCUGGGCGUCACGCCACCCAU
rnacentral:rRNA from 21 species